rnacentral:rRNA from 1 species
AGAGUUUGAUCAUGGCUCAGGAUGAACGCUAGCGGCAGGCUUAAUACAUGCAAGUCGAGGGGUAGCAGGUAGCAAUACGCUGACGACCGGCAAACGGGUGCGGAACACGUACACAACUUACCUUUUAGUGGGGGAUAGCCCAGAGAAAUUUGGAUUAAUACCCCGUAAGAUAAUUGGAUGGCAUCAUUUGAUUAUUAUAGAUUUAUUGCUAGAAGAUGGGUGUGCGGCUGAUUAGGUAGUUGGUAGGGUAACGGCCUACCAAGCCAACGAUCAGUAGCUGAUGUGAGAGCAUGAUCAGCCACACGGGCACUGAGACACGGGCCCGACCCCUACGGGAGGCAGCAGUAAGGAAUAUUGGACAAUGGACGCAAGUCUGAUCCAGCCAUGCCGCGUGAAGGAUUAAGGCCCUCUGGGUUGUAAACUUCUUUUAUAGGGGACGAAAAAGGGGCUUUCUAGCUCAACUGACGGUACCCUAUGAAUAAGCACCGGCUAACUCCGUGCCAGCAGCUGCGGUAAUACGGAGGGUGCAAGCGUUAUCCGGAUUCACUGGGUUUAAAGGGUGCGUAGGCGGGCAAUUAAGUCAGUGGUGAAAUCUUGGGGCUCAACCCCGAAACUGCCAUUGAUACUAUUUGUCUUGAAUACUGUGGAGGUUAGCGGAAUAUGUCAUGUAGCGGUGAAAUGCUUAGAUAUGACAUAGAACACCGGUUGCGAAGGCAGCUGGCUACACAAAUAUUGACCCUGAGGCACGAAAGCGUGGGGAUCAAACAGG